rnacentral:rRNA from 1 species
AUUGAACGCUGGCGGCAGGCCUAACACAUGCAAGUCGGGCGAGUGGCGGACGGGUGAGUAAUGUAUGGGGAACUGCCUGAUGGCGGGGGAUAACUACUGGAAACGGUAGCUAAUACCGCAUACCAUCGGAUGAGCCCAGAUGGGAUUAGCUAGUAGGUAAGGUAACGGCUGACCUAGGCGACGAUCCCUAGCUGGUCUGAGAGGAUGAUCAGCCACACUGGGACGGAGACACGGCCCAGACUCCUACGGGAGGCAGCAGUGGGGAAUAUUGCACAAUGGGCGCAAGCCUGAUGCAGCCAUGCCGCGUGUAUGAAGAAGGCCUUCGGGUUGUAAAGUACUUUCAGGCGGGAGGCGUUACCGACAGAAGAAGCACCGGCUAACUACGUGCCAGCAGCCGCGGUAAUUC